rnacentral:lncRNA from 1 species
UGUAGGUUGAAUGCUGGCAUGCCUGCCUGGGUGUUCAAGAUCAGUUUAUUCUAGCACUAUCUCUUUUUGGAUGUCGAAGGCUUUUGGGAGAUGGUUUGAAUGCUUCCGGGGACCUUAUCUGCCAAGCGAAGAGCAAUUGCAGAUGGAGAAGACGAUGUCGGAAUCAAGCCAUAGAUGCCCAGAAACUAAUAAUUACGGAAACUUCUGAUGUCAGUGAGUGAAGUCUGGACUCUGUGAGGUGGGUAUUGGUGUCACUUAUAGUCUACAGAUGAAGAAACUGAGGCUCACAGAAGUCAAGUAA